CCACACUGAAUUAAAACGAGUACGGUGAUUCCACAUUGAAUUCCACAAAACGGUGAUUUCCAAAUAUUAAGAAGCACGUUGCAAACAAUUACCACAUGGAUGAAACCCAUGAUGAAACCCAUGGCACUGCUAUUCUGUGUGCAAAUUGUAUUACUUCCGUGUAUAAUUGGAGUAGUAGAUCGGCCUUUAGACAACGUGGGUGGGUGUAUGCUGGUGAAACACCUAUGAAGGGAGAAGAUCCGUCAGUUUUCAAAGACAUGGAUGACGAAGAAGCAAUUAAAUAGUAACUACUGGAGUACCUAUCAAACAAUCCUGGUCUGUUAGCGACUACAUGGACUAUGUGCCUCGAAAAUAAAGCUAACAUAUAUUUGGAAGAAUCUCCUGCCACUCGUUUUAAUUCACUGUGGAAUAAGAUUGUGUUCUGAGUUGAUUCAAUGUUGAUCACCGUGAUUUGUGCGUGUUUUUGUUUGAAUUGCGUGUUAGAUGUUCUGUUUGUUCAUAUCAUGCAAUAAAUCAUUGUUUGAUUGUUUCCAUUU